GCAGGAGCUUGCUCUUGUGGAUCAGUGGCGAACGGGUGAGUAACACGUGAGCAACCUGCCCCUGACUCUGGGAUAAGCGCUGGAAACGGCGUCUAAUACUGGAUAUGUGACGUGACCGCAUGGUCUGCGUUUGGAAAGAUUUUUCGGUUGGGGAUGGGCUCGCGGCCUAUCAGCUUGUUGGUGAGGUAAUGGCUCACCAAGGCGUCGACGGGUAGCCGGCCUGAGAGGGUGACCGGCCACACUGGGACUGAGACACGGCCCAGACUCCUACGGGAGGCAGCAGUGGGGAAUAUUGCACAAUGGGCGAAAGCCUGAUGCAGCAACGCCGCGUGAGGGAUGACGGCCUUCGGGUUGUAAACCUCUUUUAGCAGGGAAGAAGCGAAAGUGACGGUACCUGCAGAAAAAGCGCCGGCUAACUACGUGCCAGCAGCCGCGGUAAUACGUAGGGCGCAAGCGUUAUCCGGAAUUAUUGGGCGUAAAGAGCUCGUAGGCGGUUUGUCGCGUCUGCUGUGAAAUCCCGAGGCUCAACCUCGGGCCUGCAGUGGGUACGGGCAGACUAGAGUGCGGUAGGGGAGAUUGGAAUUCCUGGUGUAGCGGUGGAAUGCGCAGAUAUCAGGAGGAACACCGAUGGCGAAGGCAGAUCUCUGGGCCGUAACUGAC
rnacentral:rRNA from 1 species